rnacentral:misc_RNA from 1 species
UGGUUCUGGCAUCGAUGAAGAACGCAGCGAAAUGCGAUAAGUAAUGCGAAUUGCAGAAUUCCGUGAGUCAUCGAAUCUUUGAACGCACAUUGCGCCCGCCAGUAUUCUGGCGGGCAUGCCUGUCCGAGCGUCAUUUCAACCAUCAAGCCCCCGGGCUUGCGUUGGGGCACUGCAAGCUGCUUGCAGGCCCUCAAAGGCAGUGGCGGGCUCGCUAGCACUCCGAGCGCAGUAGAAUCUUCUUCGCUCCGGGCGUGCUGCGGGUUCCGGCCGUGAAACACCCCCCCUUCUCAAGGUUGACCUCGGAUCAGGUAGGAAUACCCGCUGA